UAUAAAUUUUUUUAAAAUUCUACUUAAACAUAAAUUUCAUAAAAAUAAUUUAUUAUAAUAUUUAAAUAUAAAUAAUAUGUAUUAAGUACAAUUAAUAAUUUUAUAAUAAAAAUAAUGUAUUAUAAUAUAUAAUAUAUUAUAUUUAUAUGAUUUAUUUUUAAUUUAAUUUAUAAUUUUAAUUAAGCUUGAAAUUAAGCAUUGUAAGGACUAUUCCACCAAAAUGGUGAAAUAGUAAAUCUCAAGCUAUUCCGGGAUAACCGGGAAUAAUAAGGUUUGACCGGAAUAAAAUAUUCCAGCAAAAAGUCAUCCCGUUUGGCGGAAUAGCAAGGAUAACUUUCGUUAUCCCCGCUUAUCCUCUGAACCAAACGGUAAAUGCUGAGCAGGCCCUUCGAAUUUUUUUAUUAAUAUACUUAGGCUUAGUUUGGUAUCGAGACCCAUCUAAUUUUUUUAGAUAAAAUAGGUAAAAAUAUAUAGGGAUAUACUUCUGCGUUCUCCGGUGGGACCGUAGAAAAUAUAUCGUAAUCGACUCAUCGCGAUAUGUGGAAUAUAAUAUUACGUACGGAAACAAACAUGAUAUUUUUCUCACCGCACGUAACGCAAUCUCAUCGCAAUCCUAAAUGAAGCUUUAGAAAAAUACUAUAAUUAUAAAAUAGUUCUCUAAAAAUAUCAUAUACAAAAUUAGGUCUAUACAGUGAAUAAAUUACAACUUUCUAAAUGUGGUAAAUCAUUCACCGCUUUUUUCAAAGAAUUAAACUAUUUUUAGUAUUUAAUACUAUACAUCUUUUGAAGUUUCGAUGUAAAAAAUACAUCAAUUAGGGUAAAAGUGGUGAAUAAUUCAUCGCUUUUAGAAUGCGGUAAAUGAUUCACCGUUUUUAUCAGUCUAUUUUUAC
rnacentral:lncRNA from 1 species